GUCAGGUUCUUGGUGACGCCUUCUUCCUGGUUAUAUCCGCGCAAUGCCUUCCUUUGUGCAUGCAUGCAGAGACAAAGAGAGAGAGACAGAGCGAGGGAAGGAGAGAGAGCCUGUUGUGGGGCCCAGAACAGUCCUCCCUCUUGCCCAGCGUGAGGAGCAGAAAUACUGUGAGGAAGGCCAGGCUCUCCUAGUAUACAGAAGGCGUAGUGAUCGUCUCAAAGGUCUACUACUCGACCAGUGCAAGAAGGACGUGGCAACAUCUGCAAAAGAAGAGACAGAAAAUAUUCAUGUUAUCCCUAUGACAAAUUUGGCAGAUAAUCUCAUUAGGCAAGUCAAUAAAAGCCUAAUAUUUAUGUACUUGGAAGUCAGCAGAAGUCUUCAAAUAGUGUUGAGAUAUUAUCACAGCAAUUUGAUAACACUAGUAAUUUAAUACGUUUUAUCUAGCUGGUGUUCCAGGAGAAUAUGCAUCUCUGUUGCUUGUCAAGAGUAUUACCUUGGUAGUUUAUUAGCGAUUAUUCUCGAUUAAUUCCAGUGUUGUACGUUGAAUGCUUGUCAAGAUUCUAGAUUUCACCACAGAGAGGCAAACAUAAUGUGCACAUCUUUAAAGAUGAGUAUAAAAUUUCUUAACACUUUUAGACAGAGAAGAUAAGUCAGUGUUUAACGUCAGUGUUUUUAUUUAUGUGGAGCUAGCACAUGUAAAAAGGAAAUUUUCACUGCUUAGGAUAUGGACUUUAUGCAAUCACACUAUAGCAAACAUUAAAAUUCUUUUUAUUACCUAUAACGUUUAUUUUUUCUGAUUACAAAAUUAAUACUACCUACAGAAAACUAUAGAAAAGCACAAAGAGAAAAAUAAAAAUCACCCAUAUCCCUUCACCCAGAUAUAAACCUGUUCACAUUUUGGUAAGAUCUACCAGUAUUUUUCCAGCACAUAGGUAUGUGUAUCAUUUAAUUUAAAAAUGGGGUUCUUAGCAUGCAUUCAGUUUUAUAGUUUGAUGUCUUCAUUUGCCACAUUAUGAGUUUUCUUGACAUUAUUCAAUAUUCUUCUGUGGUUUUUUUAAUGGCUAGAGAAAAAUCAUACCAUUUGGCUAUACUCUAACCAAACUCCUGUUUUUAGACAUUUUAAGUUAUUUCUUCUGUUUUACUAUUACUUACUUCAAGCACACUUCUAGAACUAGAAUUUUUGGGUAAAAGUGUCUACACAUGUUGCAGGCUCAUGACACCUACUGCAAAGUGCAGACAGCCACCACCCCACAGUCACACCAUUCACACACUCAGCAGAAAUGCACACAGCAGCCUGUUCCUUCCGUCAUAGGGCCUUAUAGGUUUGCCAGUAUUGCCAAUUUCUUUAAUUACUAGAGAAGAUGUUUUCUUCAUAAAUUUAAUUGCCUGUUGUGUACUCUACCCAUUUUUUAAUUGAGCUAUUCAAAUUUCUCAAUGAUUUUUUUACCUUUGAUAAAAUAACUAUUAAGAUAAUUAUCCUUGUCAUAUAUUUGCAAACAUUUUCCCAGUUUGUGAUUUUCCCCUGUAAUUUUGUUUGACUUUCUUUGACACUCAGAUGUUUUAAAUUAUUUAUGUUGUCAAGCUUAUCAGUCAUUUUCCUUAUGUUUUAUGUAAUUACACAGGAGUGUUCACUCAGUGAAAAUUCAUCCAGCACCCAUAUGAUCUGUGCAUUUUUCCAUAGGUAUAUCAUAUUUCAAUAAAAUUUACUAAAAAUA